UCAUUCACAAUGGGGGAAACCCUGAUGGUGCGACGCCGCGUGAAGGAAGAAGGCUUUCGGGUUGUAAACUUCUUUUGUCAGGGAACAGUAGAAGAGGGUACCUGACGAAUAAGCCACGGCUAACUACGUGCCAGCAGCCGCGGUAAUACGUAGGUGGCAAGCGUUAUCCGGAUUUACUGGGUGUAAAGGGCGUGUAGGCGGGAUUGCAAGUCAGAUGUGAAAACUGGGGGCUCAACCUCCAGCCUGCAUUUGAAACUGUAGUUCUUGAGUGCUGGAGAGGCAAUCGGAAUUCCGUGUGUAGCGGUGAAAUGCGUAGAUAUACGGAGGAACACCAGUGGCGAAGGCGGAUUGCUGGACAGUAACUGACGCUGAGGCGCGAAAGCGUGGGGAGCA
rnacentral:rRNA from 1 species